UCGGACGUGAAUAUGUCAGAUUCUACUACCACCAAUGCGGAGGACAAAUUGGUGAAAUCCUCAGGGGUGUCAGAUGAGGAAGUUCCAGAAGAGCCAAGUUCAACAAAAUCUGAGGAUAGUCCAGGAAAGGGUAAAGGGAAAGGGAAAGGCAAGGGAAAAGGGAAGUCAUCCAGCAAAUCAACCUCCGAAGAUGUGUGCUCUUCCAGUUCCAUGGAUACCUCAGAAACAGAUACAAAACUUUCCUGCUCUGUGGAAGACUCCAAGAAUGAAGCUGAUGGCAAUGGAGCAGAGGAUGACCAGGAAGAAGAUGAGGAAGGGUUUGAGAAGCAGCUAGAGGAAGACUUUGACAGUGAUGAGGAGGAUGAAGAAGUAGAAUUUGACAGUGAUGAAGAAGGAGAGGAUGAUGAUGAUGAAGAUGAUGAUGAUGAAGAGGAGGAAGAAUCUGAAGAGGAAGAAGAAGCAGAGGAUGAGGGUCUAUUUUUUUCUGAUGAUGCAGCUCAAAGUCCUGGCCAAGAAAGUGGUUGCACAGCAAUCUUGACCUUGAUUCAAAAUAAUCAGAUCAUUGUGGCCAAUGUGGGAGACUCAAGGUGUGUGCUCAGUCGUGCAGGCAAAGCCAUUGACCUGUCAGAGGACCACAAACCAGAGAACUCCCCGGAGAGAGAGAGGAUAGUAGCAGCGGGGGGCAAGGUCACAGCUGAAGGGCGUGUCAACGGGGGACUGAAUCUCUCUCGGGCUCUCGGUGACCACUUCUACAAAAGAAAUAAAGAGAAGUCAGACAAGGAGCAGAUGAUAACUGCAUUACCUGAAAUAAUGACAGAGACAAUUCAGGAGGAAGACGAGUUCAUGGUGCUGGCUUGUGAUGGAAUCUGGAAUGCCAUGACAAGCCAAGAAGUGGUGGACUUUGUCAAAGAAAAGAUAAACCACCCUCCUUACACCGAGUGUCCAUCCAUGAUAUGUGAAAAGCUGUUUGAUUAUUGUCUGGCACCCAACACUGGCGGAGAUGGAACAGGAUGUGACAAUAUGACAUGUAUAAUUAUCAACUUUAAAGACAAUUUGAACAACAAAAGAAAUUCCAGCACAGAGCUAGAGAACCAGCCAGAAAAGCGGCCCAGAUUAGAUGUGGACGAAACCACACAGGGGUUUAUCCCAUCCAACAUGGGCGAUUGUGAGGCAGAUAAAUAAAAACGGACGCAAUUCAUGUAGAUCUUGUGUAUUAUAUACACUUCCAUUCAUAAAUGAUUAUAUAGAUUU
rnacentral:misc_RNA from 1 species